CCUACGGGAGGCAGCAGUGAGGAAUAUUGGUCAAUGGCCGUAAGGCUGAACCAGCCAAGCCGCGUGAAGGAAGAAGGAUCUAUGGUUUGUAAACUUCUUUUAUAGGGGAAUAAAGGUAUCCACGUGUGGAAAUUUGCAUGUACCCUAUGAAUAAGCAUCGGCUAACUCCGUGCCAGCAGCCGCGGUAAUACGGAGGAGGCGAGCGUUAUCCGGAUUUAUUGGGGUAAAAGGGUUGGUAGGUUGGUUGUUAAGUCAGCGUGGAAAGUUUGUGGCUCAACCAUAAAAUUGCCAUUGAAACUGGAUGGCUUGAGUGUGUUUGAGGUAGGCGGAAUGCGUGGUGUAGCGGUGAAAUGCAUAGAUAUCACGCAGAACUCCGAUUGCGAAGGCAGCUUACUAAGCCAUAACUGACACUGAAGCACGAAAGCGUGGGGAUCAAACAGGAUUAGAUACCCGUCUAGUC
rnacentral:rRNA from 1 species